ensembl:lncRNA
UUUUUUUUCUUUUUCUUUUUUUUUUUUGAGAUGGAGUCUCGCUCUGUCACCCAGGCUGGAGUGCAGUGGCACGAUCUCAGCUCACUGCAAGCUCCGCUUCCUGGAUUCACGCCAUUCUCCUGCCUCAGCCUUCCGAGCAGCUGGUACUACAGGCACCCGCCACCACGCCAGGCUAACUUUUUUGUAUCUUUAGUAGACGAGGUUUCACUGUGUUAGCCAGGAUGGUCUCCAUCUCCUGACCUUGUGAUCUGCCCGCCUCAGCCUCCCAAAGUGCUGGGAUUACAGACGUCAACCACCGCACCCGGCCAAAGCCAUUGUUAAUAUCAUUUACAAUUUUUUUUAAAAUUUCUGAGAUUAAUUUUUAAAUUUGUUCUUAGAAUUUUUAUCCCUUUUCUUAUGCUAUCCACCUGUUCUUUUGUAUUUUCUGCUUUUUUCCCGGUAGAGUCCUUAAAAUAAUGAUAUAGUGAUUUGAAAUUCCCUGUUUUACGAUUUCAAAAAUUACAUCAUACCUGAUUUGGCUUUAAUAAUUACUUUGUCUCUUUAGGCUGUGUUUUCACUUCUGUUUUGACGUGGUUUGCAAUAUUUUGUUGAAAACUGGACACAUUGUAGUGGGUGAUAGAAACCAAGGUACGUCGAUCACUAGUAGGAAGAUUUAUGUUAGUCAGGCUAGGAAUUGGACUGUGUUGCAUAUUUUCUGUAACUUAUAAGUGUGAGACAUUUAAAAUUUCCCUAGUAUCUUUGUUUUUUCUUCAGUCUUGACUUUGGGCUUUGCUUAAGACUUCUCAGAGAGAGUCUGCGUCUUGCAGCUAUUUAGGUUACAACCCUCUAUUACACUAGAGCUCUGUCGGUGUGGUGGCAUAUUGCAGGGACGGGGGAAAUUCUAUAAUAUUAUAAUUAAAUCUGUCUUUUAAUGGACCUCUUCUUUGGGGCUUUCUUUCACAAGUGUGUCUUCAAAGGUAGUGGUCUCCCCCUGCCAACACCUUAUUCCUUUCACAGGGUGCUGUGUCCCCAGUCUAUUUCCUUAAAAUUCAGACCACCAUGGACUGUUUUUAUUUCUUUCCUCACCCCUGUAGGUUAGACAGUAAGACUGGAGGAGCUUGUAGUGGGUAAAUGGCCUUAUGGCAAAGUGCCUCUGCCUGGAUAUUAAGACUGUGUUAUGGAGGAGACUCAAGAUGUAUUUCACAGUAAUUGCUCUUCCUGCCCACCUGUCAGAACCAUGAGGGGGCAUUUAUCAGAUAUUGUUUAUGAGAACCUGUGGAGAUUCCUGGAGUUAAACCCAUGAAAGUAUGGACCUGCUGCCAACAUUACCUCUCCAGGAGUUUCUUGCUCUUACAUGAGUCCACACUCUGCCCUAGUCAUUCAUCAAAAUUAUCAUUUAAGUGUUUUUACCAGUUUGUGUCUCCAACAACUUCUGCUCCAGGAAGGACGUUUAGAAUGUGUCUUUCUGGGUUCACUUCACUCCAGAUCCUAGGGUGGUGGUUUGUUUUGUGCCCUCAGUUCUCUGGUAGGUUCAAGAAAAUUCUUUGAAUUUCACAUUUUAUUUUUGUAAGUAUGAGAAUGAUAAAUUUCAAGCUCAUUUCAUGUUAGAGCCGAAACUGGAAAUAUGCCAUGCUUCCUGCAACUCUAGAGAUUUAUAUAUGAGCCAAUUAACCUGUAAAAAAUGAUAGCAGUCUCUUGAAAACUAACCAAUAUAAAAACAAAGAAAGUGAUGAAGAACAACCUAGUUACAUGUGUUAUUUAUAUAGAAAAAAAGUUUAGGAGCACUUGCUGUGUGAUACCAACUUUAUUCUGGACGAUAUAUUUGAUAAUUUUAUAACUAAGAGAAA